CCCCAUAGUAAUUAGAUAAGGCAUCUUAUUUAGUUUAAAGUUCCGGCGGUUGAAGAUGGGCAUGCGUGACAUUAGCUAGUUGAUGAGGUAACGGCUCACCAAGGCUACGAUGUCUAGGGGUUCUGAGAGGAUGAUCCCCCACACUGGUACUGAGACACGGACCAGACUCCUACGGGAGGCAGCAGUAAGGAAUAUUGGUCAAUGGACGCAAGUCUGAACCAGCCAUGCCGCGUGAAGGAUGACGGCCCUAUGGGUUGUAAACUUCUUUUGUACGGGAAUAAACCCUUCUACGUGUAGAAGGCUGAAUGUACCGUAAGAAUAAGGAUCGGCUAACUCCGUGCCAGCAGCCGCGGUAAUACGGAGGAUCCAAGCGUUAUCCGGAUUCAUUGGGUUUAAAGGGUGCGUAGGCGGAUUUGUAAGUCAGUGGUGAAAGCCUGCAGCUCAACUGCAGAACUGCCAUUGAUACUGCAAGUCUUGAGUACACUUGACGUGGGCGGAAUGUGUCAUGUAGCGGUGAAAUGCUUAGAUAUGACACAGAACACCGAUUGCGAAGGCAGCUCACGAAAUUGUAACUGACGCUGAGGCACGACAGCGUGGGGAUCAAACAGGAUUAGAUACCCUGGUAGUCCACGCCGUAAACUAUGAAUACUCGAUGUUGGCGAUAUACUGUCAGCGUCUAAGCUAAAGCAUUAAGUAUUCCACCUGGGGAGUACGGUCGCAAGAUUGAAACUCAAAGGAAUUGACGGGGGCCCGCACAAGCGGAGGAGCAUGUGGUUUAAUUCGAU
rnacentral:rRNA from 1 species